GACGAACGCUGGCGGCGUGCUUAACACAUGCAAGUCGAACGGUGAAGCGAGUGCUUGCACUCGUGGAUCAGUGGCGAACGGGUGAGUAACACGUGAGUAACCUGCCCAUCACUCUGGGAUAAGCACUGGAAACGGUGUCUAAUACUGGAUACGACCAACCCUUGCAUGGGGUGUUGGUGGAAAGAUUUAUCGGUGAUGGAUGGACUCGCGGCCUAUCAGCUUGUUGGCGGGGUAAUGGCACACCAAGGCGACGACGGGUAGCCGGCCUGAGAGGGUGACCGGCCACACUAGGUCUGAGACACGGCCCAGACUCCAACGGGAGGCAGCGGUGGAGAAUAUUGCACAAUGGGCGAAAGCAUGAUGCAGCGACGCCGCGUGGGGGAAGACGGGCUUCGGGUUGUAAACCUCAUUCAGCAGGGAAGAAGCGAAAGUGACGGUACCUGCAGAAGAAGCACCGGCUAACUACGUG
rnacentral:rRNA from 1 species